GAUGAACGCUGGCGGCGUGCCUAAUACAUGCAAGUCGAGCGAACAGACGAGGAGCUUGCUCCUCUGACGUUAGCGGCGGACGGGUGAGUAACACGUGGAUAACCUACCUAUAAGACUGGGAUAACUUCGGGAAACCGGAGCUAAUACCGGAUAAUAUAUUGAACCGCAUGGUUCAAUAGUGAAAGACGGUUUUGCUGUCACUUAUAGAUGGAUCCGCGCCGCAUUAGCUAGUUGGUAAGGUAACGGCUUACCAAGGCAACGAUGCGUAGCCGACCUGAGAGGGUGAUCGGCCACACUGGAACUGAGGCACGGUCCAGACUCCCAAGGGAGGCAACAGUAGGGAAUCUUCCGGAAUGGGCGGAAGCCUGACGGAGCAACGCCGGGUGAGUGAAGAAGGUCUUCGGAUCGGAAAACUCUGUUAUUAGGGAAGAACAAAUGUGUAAGUAACUAUGCACGUCUUGACGGUACCUAAUCAGAAAGCCACGGCUAACUACGUG
rnacentral:rRNA from 1 species